GCUGGGCUAGCUCAGUCGGUAGAGCAUGAAACUCUUAUUCUCAGGGUCAUGGGUUCAAGCCCCAUGCUGGGUG